UAAAAAUAGAUCUUGGUCCAUGGAGAAUUUUACAAUGGCUUCUAUUCAAGGUCUGAUAUUUUUUGUUCCAUUUUUUUACUGUCUUCAUUGCAUGUUUUAAUGAUGAUUUGUAUGUGCAGAAGAAGAAUGUGAGAUUCAGAAGAAUUACUGGAUCAAGCAUUUUGCAGAAUUUUCUAUGGAAGCUGUGAUGCUCGACUCAAAAGCCUCUGAUCUUAACAAAGAAGAGAGACCCGGGGUAUAUUUCUCAUACAGUAACAGACUUUUUGCUUUUCUACAUAGCUUGUUUUUAGUUUGUAGGUUGAAUUCUUCUGCCUUUUAUAAUAUGGGUUUUCUUUUAUUAUCAAUCCUUUCUUUCCUUGAUUAUUUUCUUUCAACAUUUGCAUAAUGAUACGUUACUGUUGCCUUUUCAGUUUCAUUUUGUCUUUGGUUUUAGAGUUUACAUGGAUUACAUCAGAACUCUCUCUCUCUCUCUCUCUCUCUCUCUCUCUCUCUGUGGUGAUAUUACUCACAUCAAAACAAGUUUAAUCAUUAUUUGCAAGGUUUCCUAUUUCAAUUUUUUUCUUUACUUUGGGUCAAUUUCAGUGAAUAUUCUAAUUUUGACUAAUUGGUUUACUUCUGGACUCUUUAGUUAACUGGGUCCAUGUUAGUUAACUGUUACGUACUGAUAUGAGGUGCCUGUUAAUGAUAUGGAAUGACGUUUAAGUUUACAUUCAAAUUUCAAUGGAUUGAUGUUUUAAUUCUUUUUCAAAUUUUACAUUCAAAUUUCAGUAAUUGUUGGUUGUUGAGUGACUUAAGUCAAAUAUCAUGACUCCUAAAUAUGUAUCUAGAGCUCAAAAAAAGAAGAGAGAAAGAGUAUAGGCAUUAAUUCGAAGUUAAACUGAGGAUGUGGAUAAGUACUUUAAUAACAAGAAAAGAAAAGAGAUCGAAGGAACAUCGGAAAAUUUAGUGAUUGAGGAACAAUAGAAUCAAAAUGAUAAUGAUAAUGUGCAUGAACGGAAAAAAAACGAGGAAAUGAUUGAACCUACCAAUGUAGAUGAAUCAAAGCGGAAUGAUGAAGAAAAUAUUCAACAUGAAGAUUUAAAUCAAGAGAAAUGCUUCUCUUUGAAUUUUGAUGAUACUAGAAAUUGGAAGGACGUUCACAUUGAUCAAAAGACAGUGGACUUUCUAGUUGAAAUGGUCCAAAAAGAGUUGAUGACAUCUUAACUCCCAAAGAUGGUCAAGGUAGGCAUUUGAUUCAUUACAAUAUAAGUGGCUAUUUGCAAAUGGGCAGACAAUUGAUAGAAGAUGGUUAGUUCAAUUCCUUUAGACAUGAUCUUUUACUUUUUGCUGCAAAUUUUUUAAAACGAAAAACGAUGAAAAAUAUUGGUCAAUUGGGUAAUGACGGAUACAAAAAUCGGCAUAAUAUGCUUUGGUGCCUUACAAAUCAUGAAGUGGCUAAGGAGUAUAUAGGCUGCAAGACUAGUUGAUAGAACUCGAAAAUAGGCUUCAAACAAAACUUACUAUUGAUGAAAGCAAACAAUUGGUUAACAACAAAGAAAGAGAGCAUUAGACGAUACAUCAGGACUUGGACUUUUCACUAAGCUUAAAAAUGUGUUAAGUAAUCUUGAGCAUGAUAUUGAUAAUAUAAGAUGUCAAAGCUAUGACAAUGGAGUUAACAUGAGUAUGAGACAUAAAGGUGUACAAAAAAGAUUACUUGAAAUAAAUCCUAGGGAUUUCUAUACUUCAUGUGCUUAUCAUAGUCUUAAUCUAGUGUUAUGUGAUUUGGCAAAUUAUUGUUCUAAAGUUAUGUCCUUUUUUGGAGUGAUAUCUACACACUGUUCUCUUCUUCUACUGAACGAUGGAAGAUUUUUCAAGAUAAGGUUGAAGGUCUGACACUUAAAGGAUUGUCAUAAACACACUGAAAAAGUCAUGUAGAAAGUGUCAAACCUAGAAAAGAAUAAUCUGUACAAAUAAGAGACGUUUUACUUGAAUUGACAAACAUUGCUAAAGAUCUCAAAACAAAGAGUGAAGCUAUGUCCUUAACAAUAUAUUAACUUGAGAAUUUUGAGUUUUACUUGGCAUGGUCAUUUGAUAUAAGUUGUUGCAUACAAUCAAUAUUGUAAAUAAAUUUUUUUUCAAGCUGAAAACAUGGAUAUUGAUGAAGUUAUCAAGCUAGUACAAGUACUUAUUUUGUUUCUCGAAAAGUGUAGAGAAUCUGAAUUUGCUAGUGCUACAGAUGAAGCUCAACAAAUGUUAAGUGAAAUGGGAAUUGACGUUGUAUUCUGAGAUAAACGCAGCAUUCGAAAGAAGUUACAGUUCGAUGAAAGUAAGAGUGAAGAGGUAACAAAAUCAAUUGAAGAAUCUUUUAAAGUUGAUUAUUUUCUCUUUAUAAUUGAUCGAGCUCGAUCAUCACUUCAAACCUGCUUUGAACAUCUUAAACAUUAUGAAGAGAUAUUUGGAUUUUUGUUUAAUGUUGAGAAAUUAAACAAAUUGCAUGUUGACGGUUUGUUGAAAUCUUGUGAGAAUCUUGAGCAGUAUUU
rnacentral:lncRNA from 1 species